AGUCGCCAUCAGAUAUAUCGGAGCGGCCGAGGUGCUCACAAAUAUCUGAACACGACUCUAUUGACAAGGCGCGAGAGUGCGUGUUUAGAUAUUUAUACAUGACGCGGCCAUGGUAGUGUCUUUCAGAAAACAGAGCUUACUUUAUUUAAUGUUUUAAACUCGAUGCCAUUUUUCUACACUUGUAUUUUGUAUGUGUAAAAAAAAUCGUAAGUUAUCUUUUUUCACUUAAUGCUUCGAAAAAACUUCGCAAUCGAGUGGGGUAAUGAUAAAAACUUAAUUUCACCCCAUUUCUGGGGUAAAAUAAAAGAUUAGAUCUGUUUUACCCCACUUAAUUUUGUGUUUUAAAUAUUAUUGGCAGUAAUAAUGUUUUAAACAAUUAUUAUUUUUUUAAUCGAUCACCGUAAAGAACAAUAAUGUGAAAUGAUGUUUAAGUUUGAGUUGAAUUUGUGGCCAAAAAUGCUGAAAGGACCAUUGGCAACUUUGUAUGGAGCCUGGACCCAACGCCAACAGAAAUGAGAGUAAGGUCAUUAGACAGGUAUUUCUAUGUACUUCAUUUUGUUCUAUGGGCACCAAGCGGAAUUCCAUUGCAGAACUGAGAUAUUGGUAUUUUAGCCAAAAUGUCGUCACCCAUAUUAUAGAGUCCAAGUAAGUAAAUUAAUUGCUGUAGGGUAGAUGUUCGCGCAUCGCCGGGCGAGCACACCGAAUGAUUUGCCGCACUCGCCCGGCGGUGGACUCUAUUGCCUAGGUAAUAAGGGUGACGACAUUUUGACUAAAAUACCAAUAUCUCAGUUCUGCAAUGGAAUUCCGCUUGGUGCCUAUAGAACGAAAUGACGUACAGAGAAAUACCUAUCUAAUGACCUAACUCUCAACUCUGUUGGUUUUGGGGCCAUUUUGACGCAUAGUCCUUUAUAUCGAAGUAAAUAAAGGUGAAACAUAUCAACUCACAGAUAGGUAGGUAGAUUUUCCCUUAUAUGUUGACAAGGGACGAAAAUACUUAAUUUUGCUACUUUGGUCAUUUCAGUAUUUUUGCGCUGAUCGCUUCUCAAUUAUGUUUUAAAAAUAAAUGUAUGAAUUCCCUUUUACGGAAGGCUGUGCUAAGUAAAGUUGCGGUUUUGAACCGCCUUUGACGGUUACAGCGGAAAUCGAAAUUCGAAAAUAUAUAUCUGCGUCUCUAUUGCUCUUGCUUAGUUCGAGUGAGAUAGACAAUAGGCAGAUAAACAAUUUUCGAAGAAGCGGCCGCCCUUGUCUCAAUAGAACGUCAGUUAUUUUGUUAUGCACACGAUUAAUGUAUAAAAUAAAUAUAUUAUUUGUAUUA